GGGAGGUAGUGACAAUAAAUAACAAUACGGGGUUCUUUCGGAUUUCGUAAUUGGAAUGAGUACAAUUUAAAUCUCUUAACGAGGAACAAUUGGAGGGCAAGUCUGGUGCCAGCAGCCGCGGUAAUUCCAGCUCCAAUAGCGUAUAUUAAAGUUGUUGCAGUUAAAAAGCUCGUAGUUGAAUUUCGGGAUCAAUAUGUUGGUCGUGCCUUGGUACGUACUAGUUUAUUGGUUUCUUCCUUCUGACGAACCAUGAUGUCAUUAAUUUGGUGUCUUGGGGAAUCAGGACUGUUACUUUGAAAAAUUAGAGUGUUUAAAGCAGGCUCACGCUUGAAUACAUUAGCAUGGAAUAAUGAAAUAGGACGUUUGAUUCUAUUUUGUUGGUUUCUAGGAUCGACGUAAUGAUUAAUAGGGAUAGUUGGG
rnacentral:rRNA from 1 species